UGGGGAAUUGUUCGCAAUGGGCGCAAGCCUGACGACGCAACGCCGCGUGGAGGAUGAAGACCUUCGGGUCGUAAACUCCUUUCGAUCGAGACGAAUGGCCUCCGGGUGAACAAUCCGGAGGAGUGACGGUACCGAGAGAAGAAGCCCCGGCUAACUCCGUGCCAGCAGCCGCGGUAAUACGAAGGGAGCUAGCGUUGUUCGGAAUCACUGGGCGUAAAGCGCACGUAGGCGGAUAGUUAAGUCAGGGGUGAAAUCCUGGGGCUCAACCCCAGAACUUCCUUUGAUACUGGCUGUCUCGAGGUCGAGAGAGGUUGGUGGAAUUCCUAGUGUAGAGGUGAAAUUCGUAGAUAUUAGGAAGAACACCGGUGGCGAAGGCGGCCCACUGGCUCGAUACUGACGCUGAGGUGCGAAAGCGUGGGGAGCAAACAGGAUUAGAUACCCCCGUAGUCCCUGAGCGGGCUGGCAAGGCGCAU
rnacentral:rRNA from 1 species